CUCCAUACAGCCGAAAUUUUCAAAAAGCCAUGGCUAGGGUUUCAAGCUUUUUCAAAGUUCAAUUAUCAAAAAAAUCGAGAUUUGGACCAAGUACGGGGAAAUAUCAAUCAAAAUGAUCGAUUCGCGUUGAGGGUCAAGUACAUUCGUACUACAACUCGUGAUGAAUUGACGGAAAAGACCCUGGUUGGACCAUGGCAGUGAGUGUGCCAGUGUAAGACCAUGUCUGGGACAUGGCAUCGGCACGAACAGAGGAGAGUCAGUGUAAGAUCAUGUCUGGGACAUGGUGUCACGGGGCUAGACCUUUCGUCUCACAAUCUGUGCGGCCUUAGGCGAUCCGUUUGCUCCAAACUCGCCUAAGUCAGCCUUUACGCCCAAAAGUGAUGAUUCUUUAGAACUCCUCCAAGGCACCCAUUUGUAAAGAGGAAGCGAUUGUGCCAAAAGAAGAACAACAGAAAGAACGCUCGCAAAGUGUUUGAGUAAAUGCUCUCUAUUUCUCUUAUUCACAAAAAAUAAUGAAACAAUGAAUGGAGUGAGUACAACUGAGGAGGAGGCUCUCUAUUUAUAGUUGAGCUCCCCCAAAACCGACGGUCAAGAUACAUUUACAUCGACAGACGAGAUUUAACCAUAUCCCUUGAUUUUAGGGAUUUACAAGAUAAGCCUUAUCAAAUCUAAUCUAAUCUUUGCAAGAUAUGAUUCCCUCUAUCUUCUAAGAUUAGUUACCAUAUUAGCCUAAGUUGCCAUCUCUUCAUUAUCGGGCCAACUAGGCUUCAAUCUGACAGGCUUAUCCAAUAGCUCUUUGAAUCGGGCCAGUUCUCGUAGGCCAAAUGAUCCCCGUCUAAGCAAUAGACCUCCAUUGGAUGCAUUUGGUGCGAUGGUCAUGGGCUUUGAACUGCGGCCUGUGACAAUGGCAUCGACUCGAGAUGAGUCUGGGACAUGGCACCAACACCAAUAUGUGAUCCCAUGUAAGACCAUAUUUGAGAUAUGACAUUGGUGUCCUACUAGGUGUAUGAGAUAUCCCGAACAUCCCUAAUAUUACAAAUAGUUCAACGGGAAAUUCAAGAAGUAUGCUCAAGAUAAGUAAGUGUAGGAUAUGUGAGUAUUAUGACUAGGCACAUGUAUGUAUAUGAGACUCAUAAGUAAUGUGCUCAGAUUAUGAUGCAUUAUUGGUAAGGAUGCAAACAAGUAAGUUUGUAUGUGAU